GCGCCAACCCGGGCCGCGACGCCUUCUUUUCCGCUUGGCCGCGGGCGGAGGAAAGGCAUUGAGGGUCUGUCGACCGUACGGGCGUGGCAGCAACGCCCGCGGGCACGUCGCCCAGCUCUUCGGAGGGAGAAAGCCCCACGGAGUUAGAUCAUUUUCUUAUUUCUCCCGGGAACCCGACUCCGUGCCCGGGUCUACAGGUCGGCCUCAGGCCCCUCCGGCUUGUGCGUCCCGCCCCCGGGGUCCCCAUCCCGGUGGCUUCGGUCCAUUGCCGGGUACAGCCCAGCGGUCGGCGCGGCCGCGGCCUCCGAGUCAUCCCAUGAGGCCACCUUCCCCUCCCCAACCCGGUUGACGCCGCCUCGAGCUCUCCUGCAUGCCUUCUGCUCAGUCGCAUUUUGUGCAGCAGAGCCUGUGAGUUGAAGAUGAAGAUCAUUGUGAUAAAUGUUUUCCAAAAACCUGUCACAGAGGAUGGCUGUGAAAACACUAGGAGGACCGCUGUGCAUGUAACAAGCAGAUGAGUACAUACAGAUGAAUGUUCAAGUCCUUAGCAUUGGUGCUUAAAAACUCUUCAUUACCUCAAGUAAGUGAUUACGAUUUGUCACGCAGCCGCAUCUAUUGACAGUUUGAAAGUGUCUGAUAAACUCCGAAAGCUGAGGCCAUUUCCUUUCCUGUUAAAGAUGCCUUUGUGUGUCAGGUGUAU